CCAAAUUGACACACGCAGCCUGACCUAGCGAGGAGCGCCUCCACCGCCCGCCGCCCACCGCCCACGGCCGCCAAACCAGGUUCUUUCGCCGCCGCCGCCGCCCGACUGGAGCUUGGUCGCCCCGUGCCUGCCCUUGCUCCUGCUCUCCGUCUCCCUCGCGGCAUGCUGGGCCGGACGCGCCGACGGCCACGGUGUGCACUCCGUGCUCUCCGUGCCGCUCCUCUCGGCGCUGCUCGGCGGGGCCGUCGCGCUCGUCUUCCUCGCCGGCUACCUGCGCCGCAAGCGCGCCGACAUCGCGCACGUGCCCCCCUCCGCGGCCGCCGCCGCCCUGGACCUGCCUAAGCAGGUCCGCCCCGCUGGCCAGAACAAGAAGGGAGGAGGACACGCCCGCGUCCACCACCACCACGCCUCCGUCGCCGACAAGGUUCAGGUUCAGUCAAAAAAUUUACAUGGAGCGUUCAGGUUCAGUCAAGAACACAUUUGAUGUACCAACUCAGGUAUAAAGAAGAAAGCCGGGGUAAAGAAACCAUUCAGAAAAGGGAGAUGGAUGUCCAGCAUUUAUGUAAAAUGCAUUCUGUAACUGAGUAAUUGUGUAACAUCCAGCAUUCCGUAUAAUAAUUUUAGACCCCAUGUUGUAACAUCCAACGGCUACUUAGUUAGUCAGCAAGCUAUCCUUUUCCUAGUAAAACUGGGUUGCGAUUCUUAUUCCUUGUCCAUGGAUUGAAACUAUGGGUUAAAUCCAUAAAUGGCAUAUGGUUUGGAUUGGCCUGGGUGGAAAACGCAUGUAGUUUGGUUUGGUUUGGAUGCUAGCUUAAUUAUUUUGGUUUGGUUUGGUUUGGUUGCUGGAGGUGUAGUCAUAUGGUUUGGGCUGGGUUUAGUUUGGAUGUCAAACUAUUCCCAGGUUUAGCCGCUAAGGUCUCUCAGCUUGGA